GAGUCUCGGCGCUGCUGGACCGACCCGGGUUGAAGGGGCCCCUAGGUUCUGUGGGGAGGAGGCCGUGCCGGAACGACGCCUGAGCCCGAAGGCCGAGCUGGGCGGCGGCAUGCGGCGCCGUUGAGGGCGCUGCCGCGCGCGCUCCCAGGCCGCCCUGAGUCCUGGGCUCUUUGAAGGAGGGUCAGCGCCGGGGGCCGAGGAGUGGGGCACACGGGGGAGCUGCCGGAGCUCCCGCCGACGCCGUGUCUCCAAGUCGUAGGUUGGCGCCUGGGGUCAGGGGCCGAGGCUUGGGCGCUGCCUGCCGGAGCGGAGAUCCGGGUUUGCCUCCCGCCCCCGCUCAGGACCCUGAGGCGGGUGAGGCAGCCCAGAGAGCAUGAGCGGGCAGCGCGUGGACGUCAAGGUGGUGAUGCUGGGCAAGGAGUACGUGGGCAAGACAAGCUUGGUGGAACGAUACGUGCACGACCGCUUCCUGGUGGGGCCCUAUCAGAACACCAUCGGGGCCGCCUUCGUGGCCAAGGUGAUGUCCGUUGGAGACCGGACGGUGACUUUAGGUAUUUGGGACACAGCAGGCUCUGAGCGCUACGAGGCCAUGAGCCGGAUCUACUAUCGGGGAGCUAAGGCUGCCAUCGUCUGCUAUGACCUGACGGACAGUAGCAGUUUUGAGCGGGCAAAGUUCUGGGUGAAGGAACUGCGCAACCUAGAGGAGGGCUGUCAGAUCUACCUGUGUGGCACCAAGAGUGACCUGCUGGAGGAGGACAGGCGGCGUCGACGUGUGGACUUCCACGAUGUCCAGGACUACGCAGACAAUAUCAAAGCUCAGCUCUUUGAAACAUCCAGCAAGACAGGCCAGAGCGUGGACGAGCUCUUCCAGAAAGUGGCAGAGGAUUACGUCAGUGUGGCUGCCUUCCAGGUGAUGACAGCAACCUCUGGCCCUGCUGCAAUGGCCCUAGGAAGCUCAGCUGAGAGCUAAUUGGUCAUAACCAAUGACAGUCUCGUGCAGCAGCUACCUAGCUCUAAGUGAUCUGGAAUGUCUAGCACAUGAAGCAGCCCAAGCAUUAUUUAGCAGGAAAAGGGACUUGUGGAAGCUCCUUUCCUGCAAUGACCUCAGGGGAAGCUGCCAGGACCAUACUUCCUUCCUGCCAUUCUGUUCUCAUGAUGUGACCUGGGAGUCCAGUUCCAGUAAGGAGAUGCUGCUGAACCUGGGAAAGGAUCACUGAUGCGCUUUGUGCCCUGACUGUAGUGUGGGGUAGAGAAUGUGAUAAAACAAUUAUUUCCAUUGAUGCUAAA